GCCGAGGUGGCGGAAUUGGCAGACGCGCACGACUCAAAAUCGUGUCCUCCGAAAAGAGGGUGAGGGUUCGAUUCCCUCCCUCGGCA
rnacentral:tRNA from 1 species